AGCUCAUCCGCACUCUCCCUGGGUGGGAUUCGAACCUGGCAGCUUUCAGGUCAGCAACCCAACCUUCAAGUCACUUAAUCCACUACGCCAUCUGGGGGCUCCGCCCUGUGUCAAUGAGCCUGUUGGAAUCUAUGAGCGGUUAGACUCAAAAAUAACCCUCUUUCUGAGGGAGAUUCCCUAAAAUAUAGCAGCGAGGCAGAAGCACACUUCCAAACAGCAGAAACUUACAUGAGGUGAGUUUAGGGAAGCCUUUCUUCUUAGGAUGGCAAAGUCAGCUUAAAAGUUCAAAAGGUAUUUAUUGAGGUAAAAAGAAAUCCAUUGUAAAUAGAAAAAGGUUUUGGAGCUAACUAGCUGUCUAAGCUAGCACUAAAAAGGUAAAGUUCUCCCCUGACGUUAAGUCCAGUCAUGCCUGACUCUGGGGGUUGGUGCUCAUCUCCAUGUCUAAGCCAAAGAGCCGGGCGUUGUCCGUAGACACUUCCAAGGUCAUGUGGCCGGCAUUACUUUCCCGCCGGAGCGGUACCUAUUGAUCUACUCACAGUGGCAUGUUUUCGAACUGCUAGGUUGGCAGAAGCUGGAGCUAACAGCGGCGAGCAGCUCCCAGGGUUUGAACCUCGGACCUUUCGGUCUGCAAGUUCAGCAGUGCUUUAACCCACUUCGCCACCGGGGCUCCUAAGCUAGCACUAAGAAAUGAAGGGAAGACAUCCCAGAAGGAGCCAGUUGCUGACUUAGCGGAGUUCGUCAGAAAGUGGAGAAGAUUCCCCGCCCAAGCUUCCCCUCGUUUCGCUCUUACGCAGGACAUUUGAAGUCUUCUCAACGGGUUUUUUGCCUUUCAGAAGCAACUCCACAUUCUCGUCUUCUCUCUCAGUUUUGUCAACUUCGUCAACUGUCGCAAGAGAGGCAAUUCUGGGAGCUAGAUGCUGCUUUCCUUGUCCAGAACAGGCCGAAAGGGAAUUCGCCUAUAUACACACAGGCAUCUCCUGUACCAGGAGCCUACGGUGGCGCAGUGGGUUAAACCCUUGUGCCGGCAGGACUGAUGACUUUGAAGGUUGGGUUGCUGACCUAAAGGUUGCCGGUUCGAAUCUAACCAGAGGAACAACUCGGAUUGAGUUCUCUCUAUCAGCUCCAGCUCCAUGCAGGGACAGGAGAGAAGCCUCCCACAAAGUAUCAAAACAUCCAGGCGUCCCUUGGGUAACGUCUUUGCAGACAGCCAAUUCUCUCACACCAGAAGCGACUUCCUGACACAGAAAAAAAAUCUCCUGUACCAAAACUUUAUCCACCCGAGAAUUUUUUAAAAGGUAUUGGUAUAUGAAAAUCAAGCAUUCACGGACAAUAAAUCCACGUGCAAGGCUGGUUUGUGUGAACCCUUUUCUGCAGAGUCUACUGUAACACGAAUGAGUGGCCUUCGGAAACCUUUAAUUUGUUCCUGACCCUAUCAUUGAGCUAAGGGGAAUAUCCGUCUGGGGUCGGGAUCCGCAAUUUAAGAGGCAAUGCCCCAUACGAAGCGUUGCAGGCUCCAUUCCUAAACGGAGUAAUUGCAAGUGUACUGCAAGGAGACUGCAAAAACUGCUUUUGUUGGCCAGAACCAAAUGGGACGCUGGCAUACAUAGACACACAUGGUCCAAUGGCACUGCUUGCUCUCCCCCGCCCCCAGAUCUGUGAUGGGAGGACUGCGUGGGCAGUCUGACUUCAAAACACAAAGCUAUGCCACAACAAGGAGUGGGUGGAUAGGACCCCAACAUUGAACUGAAGAGAACCCCAUUUGGGGUCUGGACCCACGGUUUAACAAGCCCUGAAACUUAUAUAUGUCCAGGAAAUCUUGCUUUGAAUGAGUACAGCACACCACACAGUUUCAUUUUGAAAGCAUGCUUAAAGGGAGUCUUGAGAAAAGAAUCACCCGAAUUCCCGAGAAAAAGCCUUUAUUCCCCCCCAUUUCCUGCCGGCAGUGUUCUAGGAGUAGCCCUUUCUCAGCUGAAAGACCUUGGGUGUUUCAUGAAGCACUUUCCUCUGGGCUCCUCCAAGGGUAUUUUCGACAGUGUGGCAGAACCUUGGUUUGAUCUUCUCUGCUCUUUUCCCAGGCAGCAGGGAAAGUGCCUGCCUCCGGGUUGUCUCCCAGUAGGAAAGACUCCUGUCGGGUUUGGUCAGAAAGACCGCAAACGGGAUUCGAUCUGAACGCAAACAUCCCCUUUCGAAACUCGAACUCACCAUGGAGGGAAUUCGGAAGGAGAGUGGAAAGGACAGAAGGGGAGAGAUGGAAGACAGCGAAGAGAAUGGCGUGGAGAUAGAAGUCUUCCAACCUCUUAGCAAAGCAAUAGAGACUUCACCGUGAAAUUAAAAUAAUACUAAUUCCCCGACGAAAUGUAUACUGUUUUAAAGUCCUCCCAAGAGCAGCCACCGAAAGAGUGAUUUGUGGGUUGAAAACAGAC